UGGGGAAUAUUGCACAAUGGGCGCAAGCCUGAUGCAGCCAUGCCGCGUGUGUGAAGAAGGCCUUCGGGUUGUAAAGCACUUUCAGCGAGGAGGAAGGGUAGUGUGUUAAUAGCACAUUGCAUUGACGUUACUCGCAGAAGAAGCACCGGCUAACUCCGUGCCAGCAGCCGCGGUAAUACGGAGGGUGCAAGCGUUAAUCGGAAUUACUGGGCGUAAAGCGCACGCAGGCGGUUUGUUAAGUCAGAUGUGAAAUCCCCGCUCUUAACGUGGGAACUGCAUUUGAAACUGGCAAGCUAGAGUCUUGUAGAGGGGGGUAGAAUUCCAGGUGUAGCGGUGAAAUGCGUAGAGAUCUGGAGGAAUACCGGUGGCGAAGGCUGCCCCCUGGACAAAGACUGACGCUCAGGUGCGAAAGCGUGGGGAGCAAACA
rnacentral:rRNA from 1 species